GGGGUUGUAGCUCAGUGGCAGAGCACUUGCCUAGCACGUGUGAGGCAUUGGGUUAAAUCCUCAGCACCACCU
rnacentral:tRNA from 1 species